CAAUGCCCCUGCCCAGCCUCUGGGACAGGGAUUCCCUCUCCCCUUGUACAUACUCACACACAGGUUCCCCGUGUACAUACAUGCACAUACACACCCAAACACACAUAGAGGACUCUGGAGCCACAGUGGGACAGCCCUGCCUGCUUGUCCUUCUGAGCUUGGGGACCAUGCCUCUUUGGACUCUGCUUCCAGGAUGGUUUGGGAAGCACAGCAGGGCACGGCUCCUGAGAUCCAUCCCCUAGACUGACUGACCGACAGACACACAAACACCAGACUGAAGCACAUGUAAUAUAGACUAUGUAUGUUUACAAUGUUGUGUAUAAAUGGGACACUUUGCCCUCUACCACCUCCCCUUUGGUUGUAUGAUUUUCUUCUUUUUUUAAUGACUCCUGGAAGCAGUGCCGCUUCAGAGCUGGCUGGGAGCUUGGCUUAGCCACCUCUUAGAGUGCCUGCUUCUGCCUCUCCCAUGGCAUCCCGUCCCUUUCCCAUGUGCUCGGUGUUCAGUGGUGUAUAUUUCUUCUCCCAGACAUGGGGCGUGUGCCCCAAGGGAUCUGAUCCCCUCCUUAGUCUUAGCUCAUGGGCGGCUCUUGAGGAGCUGGGGGCAGGGUAGAAUGGGACAGAGCAGGUACAGAGGCUGCAGUUGGGCUGGCCUACUGAGGGUGCCUGGCUGCCCAGCCUGCUGUAGACGUGCUCCCUGCCCUCCUGUGGGCCCUGUGAUGUGAUGCUGUGUCUGUAUAUUCUAUACAAAGGUACUUGUNCCUUCCCUUUGUAAACUACGUUUGACAUGAAUUAAAACAAUAUAAACCAAAAAAAAAAAAAAAAAAAA